AUAUAUGCUUUCUGCAUCAAUAUUUCACAAUAUAAUAAUAUACUAUAAUAUAUAACAACUAUAAUAACUAUAGUAUAGAAAUAAAAAAAUGAGAAUGCAAACCUCUGUGCGGUAUUACAGGUGUUAAUUAGAACCACAUAUAUUGUUUUAAUCUACCUUGUUUUCCCAGAUAAAGAUGAUGUGAGUUCUUCCAUGAUAUAUAUUAUUUACACUAGAUAUCCAUUCCUCCAAGGAUCUCCCUGCACGCACAUUGAACAUCUCUCCAAAAUUCUUGUAUUUUUACACUAAAGUACCAAAUAUGGGAAAUGUUUCCCGGUUCUUGAAGGAAUCUCCAGCAUUUGUUGAGUGUGUCUUCCCAAGUUCGAGUAAAAUAAGGGAUGUUUAAACCAUUUGCAUUAAUGGAUAUUACCUUCAGAUUACUCUACAUCUCUUAUACCGCAGGGCAGAUUUUGUCACAAAUGCAAAAUGUUGUGUUUCGGCUCCAAAAUCCACCGUGUAGCAGGAGCGGAAGAGCAGCAGGGGAGUGGAUUUUCGAUCUCCGUAGGCCAAGAUCCGCAAUCAUCUGGUACUACCCUAAGUGCAAAUGUAUCGCCUCAAUCAGUAAACCAGGACCACAGACAACAACGUAUGAUGACCUAGGGGACCCUACAUAAUUGCAUUUUAACAGUAGACAGUGUUUUGUGACAGCAGAGCCACCUACAGACACAGCUCUGCUGAGCACCAGUCAUAAAUGGGCUCCAGGACAUCAUGUCGAGAGACUGGCAAGGGAGUGUGGUCACCAGGACAUUCGUGCUGACAGCCCUUGUUUCUAUGGGAACCAAAGAAAUACAAUAUUCCAUACAAGUGCUGCUGUGCUAUCAGCUCCUUCUUCACUGUGCCUGAGUCCAGAUCUUGCACGUCUCCCACGUCUGGAUUGUGCUACAGCUUUCUACGCAUAACACGUGCAGCCAAAGGACAAGCUUGUUAAGCUGCCAGACCUCUACUGUAACAUGACUCUCACUGCAGAAAAAAACAUAAUAAUUCUAUGUGUCCUCCAGUUGGUGUAUUAUUUCGGGAAGCUUAUUUUUCUGUAGCCUAAAGACCCUGAAGCUGUCCAAAGAAUACAACAGAAUUUGUGUCAUUAUUCCUUACCUUUUCUCUCCUGAUUAAAAAGCACUUUUUAUUAAUAAAAUACCAGUUCAAACAA